GUUUUUGUUUUACGCUUCUAACGAAUAAAAAAUUAACAUAAAAAAACAAAGUUUAAAGAGUUUUGUUUUUGAAAAAAUAUAAUUUGUUUUCCAAAAAAAAAAUUGUGAAAGCUUAGCUUUAAUUACUUUAAUAAUUUACUGGCAAAAAAAAUUUAAGUAAAAAAAGCCUCGUGUUUUUAAGAGAGUAAAUGCCUGAAAAAAAGUCGAAAAAAUUAACUAAAAACAAAGUUGUAAUGUUAAAUAAUGUUGAAUAUAGUUUUCUGAUAUGAAAUGUUCAACGUCGAAAAAAAAUGUGUUUACUUCAGCUAAACGUCAUCAUUAAUUGACAUUACAAUAUCAGAUUAAUCAAAAAAAAAAAAAAAAAAAAAAUAAAAACUUAAAUCAAAACAAAGUCUGUCUCUUAACAACAAC